rnacentral:rRNA from 1 species
CCUACGGGUGGCAGCAGUGAGGAAUAUUGGUCAAUGGCCGCAGGGCUGAACCAGCCAAGUCGCGUGAGGGAUGACGGUCCUAUGGAUUGUAAACCUCUUUUGUCAGGGAGCAAAGGGCGCCACGUGUGGCGUUUUGCGAGUACCUGAAGAAAAAGCAUCGGCUAACUGCGUGCCAGCAGCCGCGGGAAUACGUAGGUGGCAAGCGUUGUCCGGAUUUACGGGGUGUAAAGGGCGUGCAGCAGGGAGGUCAAGUCAGAUGUGAAAUCCCGCGGCUCAACCGCGGAACUGCAUUUGAAACUGUUAUUCGUGAGGACCGGAGAGGUCAUCGGAAGUCCUUGUGUAGCGGGGAAAUGCGUAGAUAUAAGGAAGAACACCAGUGGCGAAGGCGGAUGACUGGACGGCAACUGACGGUGAGGCGCGAAAGCGUGGGGAGCAAACAGGAUUAGAUACCCGGGUAGUC